rnacentral:rRNA from 1 species
AUGAACUUAGCUUGCUAAGUUUGAUGGCGACCGGCGCACGGGUGAGUAACACGUAUCCCACUUGACGAUGACUCGGGGAUAGCCUUUCGAAAGAAAGAUUCAUACCCGAUGGCAUAGUUCUUCCGCAUGGUAGAACUAUUAAAGAAUUUCGGUCAUCGGUGGGGAUGCGUUCCAUUAGGUUGUUGGCGGGGUAACGGCCCACCAAGCCUUCGAUGGAUAGGGGUUCUGAGAGGAAGGUCCCCCACAUUGGAACUGAGACACGGUCCAAACUCCUACGGGAGGCAGCAGUGAGGAAUAUUGGUCAAUGGACGAGAGUCUGAACCAGCCAAGUAGCGUGAAGGAUGACUGCCCUAUGGGUUGUAAACUUCUUUUAUACGGGAAUAAAGUGAGGCACGUGUGCCUUUUUGUAUGUACCGUAUGAAUAAGGAUCGGCUAACUCCGUGCCAGCAGCCGCGGUAAUACGGAGGAUCCGAGCGUUAUCCGGAUUUAUUGGGUUUAAAGGGAGCGUAGGCGGACGCUUAAGUCAGUUGUGAAGGUUUGCGGCUCAACCGUAAAAUUGCAGUUGAUACUGGGUGUCUUGAGUACAGUAGAGGCAGGCGGAAUUCGUGGUGUAGCGGUGAAAUGCUUAGAUAUCACGAAGAACUCCGAUUG